rnacentral:rRNA from 1 species
CCCUUUGGGUGUGACUGCGUACCUUUUGUAUAAUGGGUCAGCGACUUAUAUUCUGUAGCAAGGUUAACCGAAUAGGGGAGCCGGAGGGAAACCGAGUCUUAAUUGGGCGUUAAGUUGCAGGGUAUAGACCCGAAACCCGGUGAUCUAGCCAUGGGCAGGUUGAAGGGUGGGUAACACUAACUGGAGGACCGAACCGACUAAUGUUGAAAAAUUAGCGGAUGACCUGUGGCUGGGGGUGAAAGGCCAAUCAAACCGGGAGAUAGCUGGUUCUCCCCGAAAGCUAUUUAGGUAGCGCCUCGUGAAUUCAUCUCCGGGGGUAGAGCACUGUUUCGGCUAGGGGGCCAUCCCGGCUUACCAACCCGAUGCAAACUGCGAAUACCGGAGAAUGUUAUCACGGGAGACACACGGCGGGUGCUAACGUCCGUCGUGAAGAGGGAAACAACCCAGACCGCCAGCUAAGGUCCCAAAGUCAUGGUUAAGUGGGAAACGAUGUGGGAAGGCCCAGACAGCCAGGAUGUUGGCUUAGAAGCAGCCAUCAUUUAAAGAAAGCGUAAUAGCUCACUGGUCGAGUCGGCCUGCGCGGAAGAUGUAACGGGGCUAAACCAUGCACCGAAGCUGCG